CCUACGGGAGACAGCAGUGGGGAAUAUUGCACAAUGGGCGAAAGCCUGAUGCAGCGACGCCGCGUGAGUGAAGAAGGACCUCGGUAUGUAAAACUCUAUUAGUAGGGAAGAAAAUGCCGGUACGUGACUAAUAAGUUUUGGAUAAUAUCGUGCCAGCAGCCCAGGUAAAACGGAGGGAGCCAGCGUUAUCCGGAUUUAAUGGGUUUAAAGGGAACGUAGACGGCGUUGCAAGUCCGGAGUGAAAGCCUAUGGCUUAACCGUAGUACUGCGCUGGAAACUGGGAGGCUUGAGUGCAGGAGGGGCACGCGGAAUUCCUAGUGUAGCGGUGAAAUGCGUAGAUAUUAGGAGGAACACCGGUGGCGAAGGCGGCCUGCUGGACCGUAACUGACGUUGAGGCUCGAAAGCGUGGGUAGCAAACAGGAUUAGAUACCCCAGUAGUC
rnacentral:rRNA from 1 species